rnacentral:tRNA from 1 species
GGGACUAUAGCUCAGGGUUAGAGCAUUUGCUUAGUAUGCAUGAAGGCCUGGAUUUGAUGUCUCAGUGGUUCUU